UUCUUGAUCUUGCGAGUGAUUC
rnacentral:miRNA from 1 species